GAGUAAAAACAACAAAAAUGGUGGCACAGGUCAGUUUCCGUUUGUACAGGAGUCAAAAGUUAAAGUUGCUUCAAUGUUGGUAAAAAGUUUUGCAAAUUAUUGGUGGGGUUAAUAGGGUUAUAAAAAGGAAUAGUUUGCACCAUAUGUCAUGCUUAGUUAUCACAUUAUGGGGUAACAUAUGUCACAUCUCAUAGAAUCCAACGGUCGUCAACAUUGUUUGACCUUUACUUUGG